UACGUAGGGUGCGAGCGUUGUCCGGAAUUAUUGGGCGUAAAGAGCUUGUAGGCGGUUUGUCGCCUCUGCCGUGAAAAUCCGGGGCUCAACCCCGGACUUGCGGUGGGUACGGGCAGACUAGAGUGUGGUAGGGGAGACUGGAAUUCCUGGUGUAGCGGUGAAAUGCGCAGAUAUCAGGAGGAACACCGAUGGCGAAGGCAGGUCUCUGGGCCACUACUGACGCUGAGAAGCGAAAGCGUGGGGAGCGAACAGG
rnacentral:rRNA from 1 species